rnacentral:rRNA from 1 species
GAUGAACGCUGGCGGCGUGCCUAAUACAUGCAAGUCGAGCGAACGGACGAGAAGCUUGCUUCUCUGAUGUUAGCGGCGGACGGGUGGGUAACACGUGGAUAACCUACCUAUAAGACUGGGAUAACUUCGGGAAACCGGAGCUAAUACCGGAUAAUAUUUUGAACCGCAUGGUUCAAAAGUGAAAGACGGUCUUGCUGUCACUUAUAGAUGGAUCCGCGCUGCAUUAGCUAGUUGGUAAGGUAACGGCUUACCAAGGCAACGAUGCAUAGCCGACCUGAGAGGGUGAUCGGCCACACUGGAACUGAGACACGGUCCAGACUCCUACGGGAGGCAGCAGUAGGGAAUCUUCCGCAAUGGGCGAAAGCCUGACGGAGCAACGCCGCGUGAGUGAUGAAGGUCUUCGGAUCGUAAAACUCUGUUAUUAGGGAAGAACAUAUGUGUAAGUAACUGUGCACAUCUUGACGGUACCUAAUCAGAAAGCCACGGCUAACUACGUGCCAGCAGCCGCGGUAAUACGUAGGUGGCAAGCGUUAUCCGGAAUUAUUGGGCGUAAAGCGCGCGUAGGCGGUUUUUUAAGUCUGAUGUGAAAGCCCACGGCUCAACCGUGGAGGGUCAUUGGAAACUGGAAAACUUGAGUGCAGAAGAGGAAAGUGGAAUUCCAUGUGUAGCGGUGAAAUGCGCAGAGAUAUGGAGGAACACCAGUGGCGAAGGCGACUUUCUGGUCUGUAACUGACGCUGAUGUGCGAAAGCGUGGGGAUCAAACAGGAUUAGAUACCCUGGUAGUCCACGCCGUAAACGAUGAGUGCUAAGUGUUAGGGGGUUUCCGCCCCUUAGUGCUGCAGCUAACGCAUUAAGCACUCCGCCUGGGGAGUACGACCGCAAGGUUGAAACUCAAAGGAAUUGACGGGGACCCGCACAAGCGGUGGAGCAUGUGGUUUAAUUCGAAGCAACGCGAAGAACCUUACCAAAUCUUGACAUCCUUUGACAACUCUAGAGAUAGAGCUUUCCCCUUCGGGGGACAAAGUGACAGGUGGUGCAUGGUUGUCGUCAGCUCGUGUCGUGAGAUGUUGGGUUAAGUCCCGCAACGAGCGCAACCCUUAAGCUUAGUUGCCAUCAUUAAGUUGGGCACUCUAAGUUGACUGCCGGUGACAAAUCGGAGGAAGGUGGGGAUGACGUCAAAUCAUCAUGCCCCUUAUGAUUUGGGCUACACACGUGCUACAAUGGACAAUACAAAGGGCAGCGAAACCGUGAGGUCAAGCAAAUCCCAUAAAGUUGUUCUCAGUUCGGAUUGUAGUCUGCAACUCGACUACAUGAAGCUGGAAUCGCUAGUAAUCGUAGAUCAGCAUGCUACGGUGAAUACGUUCCCGGGUCU